CUGCUGACGAGCGGCGGACGGGUGAGUAACACGUGGGAAUCUGCCUAUUGGUGGGGGAUAGCCCGGAGAAAUCCGGAUUAAUACCGCAUAAUACCUGAGGGUUAAAACAGGGGAUCUUCGGACCUUGUGCCAAUAGAUGAGCCCGCGUCAGAUUAGUUAGUUGGUGAGGUAAUGGCUCACCAAGACCGCGAUCUGUAGCUGGCCUGAGAGGGUGGCCAGUCACACUGGAACUGAGACACGGUCCAGACUCCUACGGGAGGCAGCAGUGGGGAAUAUUGGACAAUGGGCGCAAGCCUGACCCAGCCAUGCCGCGUGUGUGAAGAAGGCUUUCGGGUUGUAAAGCACUUUAAGUUGGGAGGAAGGUGCGACGGUUAAUACCCGUUGUAAUUGACGUUACCAACAGAAUAAGCACCGGCUAAUUCCGUGCCAGCAGCCGCGGUAAUACGGAAGGUGCGAGCGUUAAUCGGAAUUACUGGGCGUAAAGCGCACGUAGGCGGUUUGCUAAGUCAGAUGUGAAAGCCCAGGGCUUAACCUUGGAACUGCAUCUGAUACUGGCAGGCUAGAGUACAGUAGAGGGAGGUGGAAUUUCAGGUGUAGCGGUGAAAUUCGUAGAUAUUCGGAGGAACACCAGUGGCGAAGGCGGCUCACUG
rnacentral:rRNA from 1 species